rnacentral:lncRNA from 1 species
UGUAAAGAGUAAAGACUGGCAAAGGCAGAAAAGAGAGAGAGAGAGAGAGAGAGAGAGAGAGGAGAGAAGAAAGAAAACAUUUUUAAAACACGGAAAAAGCUAAGAAAGAGAUACACAGGAAAGAAGAGAUCAAAACAGAGUCAAAUUUUUGAAUGCCAACCGCUCCAAUCCUCCAAUUCCACUUCAUCAAUGCCCACCAUCGCAAAAUCCCACCUUUAAAUACCUCCAUUUUUUCAAAACCCAUGUUUUAGUUUCUCAAGUUGUGAUCAUAUAUUUCCUCUAUCAAUCACCAUAUAUCCCCAAGUUUUUCCCUGUUCUUUUGGCUUUUGUACUAGCAGCAUGACGGCUUUGAACAAGAAUCAGUCAAGACGCUGCCUUUUUCUCCUCAAAAUCUGAUCCCAUGUGUUGUGACAGCUUCAGUUGAAUCCGUGUCUCUUACUUUAUCUUUGCCUGCUAAUAUAUUUCCCCUUCUGUUAUUGAUAGAAAUUUAGGGUCAUUUGAAUUCAAAAUUUUACACUAUUCUGCCUGUUUCUUCCUAGAAUCAACAAAAUUCUGUUGAUUUUGAGGAAUCACAAUCCCUUUCUAUUCAGUUCCCGUAUGUUCCUCUGAGAGUUCCUUAAUUCGUGUUAAGAAGAUUCAAUUUUGAUUCCAAGUUUCUGUCUUUUUUGUUUGUUCCCUUCAAGUUCCCAAUAGGGUCAGUCCAGAUUUCUUGCGGAAAUUGAACCAUGGGAAUUCAGAAGGAUAGGGUGAGAUUUAAUGUUGGUGGAAAAAUCUUUGACACUUCAGCCACAACCCUGGCGAAUGCUGGCCGAAAUUCUCUCUUUGGAGCUAUGUUUGAUGAGAAUUGGGACCUCCAAUCUGGUCAUUCCACCACGGAGCACUUCAUUGAUCGAAAUCCAGACUAUUUUGCAGUUCUUCUUGACCUUCUCAGGACAGGGGAAUUGUAUCUUCCGUCAAACAUGUCUGAGAAACAGUUAUACAGAGAGGCUCUGUUUUAUGGCAUUUUGGACCACGUCAGGUCUGCUAAGUGGGGUCCGUUCGAUGGAAACAGGCUCCGAUUAGCCCGGUCAGUAACUGGCCGGGCACCGGGCGAUGGGACUGCUAUCAGGGCUGGUCCAGAUGGUGGCUGUUGUGUGGCUCAUGGUAGCAUGGUUCAUGUGUAUGAUUGGAUGCUUGAAGUGCAUCCUCCUAUUAAUCUUGAUUAUCAAAGAGUCAAUGAUGCAGGUUGGAUUGAUCCUGAGAGCAUUGUAAUCAGUGCUUGUGAGAGGUUUGGUACGGGAGAUGGAGGCAUGGGAUUGUUCAGUGCAUCCACGGGGAACGAAGGUAUAAAUUUCAUGUUAGUCAUGAAAAUCAAGUUAAGAGUUACACUGCUGGUGCAUUGAGUUUUAGUCCAGAUUAUAAGUUGUUUUCUAGUUGUAAAGGUAGGAGCAAUGAGUAUGGGAUUGGUGUUUGGGACCAAGUGACGGGGAAGCAGAUUGACUUUUUCUAUGAGCCACCUGGAUGGUCACUCGGUGAAGCAGACAAACUACAAUGGUUACAUGGUAACAACUGCUUGUUGGUAGCAACUUUGUUUCCAAGAAAGGACAACUGUUACAUUGGUUUGCUGGAUUUCAGGGACAAAAGCAUGCCUUGGUCCUGGUCUGAUGUAGGGGCUCCAAUUACGGAUGAUGAAAGCGAGUUAGGGAUGCAAUAGCAAUGGAGGAGAGUAGCUCCGUAUGCGUGGUGAAUGAAUACGAGGACUUGGGGU